GAGACCUCAGGUCAGUCGGGUACUACCC
rnacentral:rRNA from 1 species